rnacentral:tRNA from 1 species
UGUAGCUCAGCAGCAAAGUGCCUGCCUGGCAAGCAUGAGGCCCUGAGUUUGAUUCUCAGUA